ACUUUAUGAAACCUUUUCUUGCAGUCUUUAUUAUCUAUACCAUGCGUAAUCAACAAACUUUGUUGAAUUAGCUAGCUUGAACCCGCCAUCAUCUUCGAAAGUUUUUGGGCAUUUGUUUAUUAUGCUCGGAUUGGAUCUUUAGUUUAAUCAAUAUGGAGUACAGUGGAAAAGGAAGAGAUGCUUUUCUUUACAUAUUGCUUAUUUUGGUAUAAAACCCACUUGUGUUUUUAAUCUGCUUUCUGGCCUAACCUACUAUUUGAGCAGCUUCUGAUUGAAAGCUCUUGAGCCUGAAUUCCUUAACUUUCACAUUUUUCUUUUGAAAUUUCAUGUGAGGUGGGAAAGCACACUGGUUAAUGUCUGAGUUUAGUUCAUAUGAAUGCUUUACCACACUUUACGUCUUUCAGAAUGGGAAGGAAAGUAAAGUGUUAAGUGUCAUGCUUUACUUGUGAUUCAUCUGCUUUUAUGGGUUCUCCCACCUCUACCAUUAUUUAAUAUUUUCCCAUUUUUCUCUGCAGAAAUUUCUCUG
rnacentral:misc_RNA from 1 species